rnacentral:rRNA from 1 species
UUCCGUAGGUGAACCUGCGGAAGGAUCAUUGACACGAUAUCCACACCAAACCCUGAACUUACUGGGGGGCAUCUGCGCUGCAGUUGCUUGAGCGGGCGGUUGGCGAAAGCCUUCUGCGUGCGUUUCCCAUUUUUUUCAUUAUUUUUUUUGCUAACUUGCUCAAUAACUAUACAACUUUUAGCAAUGGAUGUCUCGGCUCGAGUAACGAUGAAGGACGCCGCAAAAUGCGAUAAGCGCUGUGAAUGGCAGAAUUCCGCGAAUCAAGAGAAUGCUGAACGCAUACUGCACUUUUAGGUCAUUCCUGAAAGUAUAUCUGGUUGAGGGCGUUAAUACCAUAAUGUCUACCUGAAUUCAACCUUCGGGCUGUUAUCAGGUUGUACGUUCUUGUGCGCUAGCGACGAGGUUGGUUUAUUCCUUCCGAUCCGUUGGCGCAUUAAAUCCAACGGCACCUUGUUUCAACGACCACCCGGUAAUUCUAACGAAUUUUAGGUGGUUGGUUGGGGCAUGGAAUCCGUUUUAACGAAAUCGGAAAUUCUUCUGAAUUUUUGUUCUCGCAUCAACUCAGGUAAGGCUACCCGCUGAAUUUAAGCAUAUC